rnacentral:rRNA from 1 species
UACGUAGGGGGCGAGCGUUGUCCGGAUUUAUUGGGCGUAAAGAGCGUGUAGGCGGCCAGGUAGGUCUGCUGUGAAAACUCGAGGCUCAACCUCGAGACGUCGGCGGAAACCAUCUGGCUAGAGUCCGGAAGAGGAGAGUGGAAUUCCUGGUGUAGCGGUGAAAUGACGCAGAUAUCAGGAGGAACACCGGUGGCGAAGGCGGGUCUCUGGGCCGAUACUGACACUGAGAAGCGAAAGCGUGGGGAGCGAACAGG